rnacentral:rRNA from 1 species
CCUACGGGUGGCAGCAGUGAGGAAUAUUGGUCAAUGGACGAGAGUCUGAACCAGCCAAGUAGCGUGAAGGAUGACUGCCCUAUGGGUUGUAAACUUCUUUUAUAUGGGAAUAAAAUGUUCCACGUGUGCCUUUUUGUAUGUACUUUAUGAAUAAGGAUCGGCUAACUCCGUGCCAGCAGCCGCGGUAAUACGGAGGAUCCGAGCGUUAUCCGGAUUUAUUGGGUUUAAAGGGAGCGUAGAUGGGUUGUUAAGUCAGUUGUGAAAGUUUGCGGCUCAACCGUAAAAUUGCAAUUGAUACUGGCAGUCUUGAGUACAGUUGAGGUAGGCGGAAUUCGUGGUGUAGCGGUGAAAUGCUUAGAUAUCACGAAGAACUCCGAUUGCGAAGGCAGCUUACUAAACUGCCACUGACAUUGAUGCUCGAAAGUGUGGGUAUCAAACAGGAUUAGAUACCCCAGUAGUC